rnacentral:lncRNA from 1 species
UCCUCCAGCAGGCACUACUCAAAUUGGAGGAUCAUUCCAGUUCCCUUGAUCAUCUUGCUUUCAGAAGUUUAAGCAGCGCUAAUAUCGUGGCAAAAAGUGCUGGUAUGUUUGAUCACUGCAUAUCAAUUGGAAUUAUAUAUUUUUCAUCUCACCAAUGAAAUUGGUGUCAUACAAGCUGCUCAACUAUUUUUAGCAUAGUGGA